rnacentral:rRNA from 1 species
CCGACGGUGAGAGGCGAAAGCUGGGGGCACGAACCGGAUUAGAUACCCGGGUAGUCCCAGCCGUAAACGAUGCUCGCUAGGUGUCUGGGAUGGUGCGACCGUUUCAGGUGCCGCAGGGAAGCCGUGAAGCGAGCCACCUGGGAAGUACGGCCGCAAGGCCGAAACUUAAAGGAAUUGGCGGGGGAGCACUACAACGGGUGGAGCCUGCGGUUUAAUUGGACUCAACGCCGGAAAACUCACCUGGGGC